UACAGAGGCCUCGAGCGUUAGGCGGAAUCACUGGGCUUAAAGCGUGUGUAGGCGGACUUCUAAGUACCUUGUGAAAUCCCACGGCUUACCCGUGGAACGGCUGGGUAUACUGGGAGUCUUGAGCCACCUAGGGGCGAGUGGAACAAAUGGUGGAGCGGUGAAAUGCGUAGAUAUCAUUUGGAACGCCAAUGGUGAAAACAACUCGCUGGGGGUGUGCUGACGCCGAGACACGAAAGCCAGGGGAGCGAACGGG
rnacentral:rRNA from 1 species